rnacentral:rRNA from 1 species
UACGUAGGGGGCAAGCGUUGUCCGGAUUUAUUGGGCGUAAAGAGCGUGUAGGCGGCUAGGUAGGUCCGUUGUGAAACCUCGAGGCUCAACCUCGAGACGCCGGUGGAAACCAUCUAGCUAGAGUCCGGAAGAGGAGAGUGGAAUUCCUGGUGUAGCGGUGAAAUGCGCAGAUAUCAGGAAGAACACCCGUGGCGAAGGCGGUUCUCUGGGACGGUACUGACGCUGAGACGCGAAAGCGUGGGGAGCGAACAGG